rnacentral:rRNA from 1 species
UACGUAGGGAGCAAGCGUUUGUCCGGAAUCAUUGGGCGUAAAGCGCGCGUAGGCGGCCUCAUAAGUCCGUUGUGAAAGUCAAAGGCUCAACCUUUGAAAGCCGAUGGAUACUGUGAGGCUAGAGUCCGGAAGAGGCGAGUGGAAUUCCUGGUGUAGCGGUGGAAUGCGCAGAUAUCAGGAGGAACACCAAUAGCGAAGGCAGCUCGCUGGGACGGUACUGACGCUAAGGCGCGAAAGCGUGGGGAGCGAAUGGG